GCCUGAGUGGCUCAGUUAGUUAAGCAUCUGACUUCAGCUCAGGUCAUGAUCUUGCAGUUCUGUGAGUUCGAGCCCCACGUCAGGCU
rnacentral:tRNA from 1 species